rnacentral:rRNA from 1 species
AUUGAACGCUGGCGGCAGGCCUAACACAUGCAAGUCGAGCGGGGUUUUCGGACCUAGCGGCGGACGGGUGAGUAAUGCGUAGGAAGCUACCCGAUAGAGGGGGAUACCAGUUGGAAACGACUGUUAAUACCGCAUAAUGUCUACGGACCAAAGUGUGGGACCUUCGGGCCACAUGCUAUCGGAUGCGCCUACGUGGGAUUAGCUAGUUGGUGAGGUAAUGGCUCACCAAGGCGACGAUCUCUAGCUGGUUUGAGAGGAUGAUCAGCAACACUGGACCGGAGACACGGUCCAGACUCCUACGGGAGGCAGCAGUGGGGAAUAUUGGACAAUUGGCGCAAGCCUGACCCAGCCAUGCCGCGUGUGUGAAGAAGGCCUUCGGGUUGUAAAGCACUUUCAGUAGGGAGGAAGCGUUGUGUGUUAAUAGUACACAGCGUUGACGUUACCUACAGAAGAAGCACCGGCUAACUCUGUGCCAGCCGCCGCCGUAACAC